AUUGAACGCUGGCGGCAUGCUUUACACAUGCAAGUCGAACGGUAACAGGGUGCUUGCACCGCUGACGAGUGGCGAACGGGUGAGUAAUGCGUCGGAACGUGCCGAGUAGUGGGGGAUAACGCAGCGAAAGUUGUGCUAAUACCGCAUACGUACUGAGGUAGAAAGUGGGGGACCUUCGGGCCUUACGCUAUUCGAGCGGCCGACGUCUGAUAGCUAGUAGGUGAGGUAAAGGCUCACCUAGGCGACGAUCAGUAGGGGUCUGAGAGGAUGAUCCGCCACACUGGGACUGAGACACGGCCCAGACUCCUACGGGAGGCAGCAGUGGGGAAUUUUGGACAAUGGGCGAAAGCCUGAUCCAGCCAUGCCGCGUGUCUGAAGAAGGCCUUCGGGUUGUAAAGGACUUUUGUCAGGGAGGAAAUCCCUAGUGCUAAUAACACUGGGGGAUGACAGUACCUGAAGAAUAAGCACCGGCUAACUACGUGCCAGCCGCCGCGGUAA
rnacentral:rRNA from 1 species